UACGGAGGGUGCGAGCGUUGUCCGGAAUCACUGGGCGUAAAGGGCGCGUAGGCGGCGCGGGCAGUCAACGGUGAAAGCUUGGGGCUCAACCCCGAGUCGGCCGUCGAUACUCCCGGGCUGGAGCACUGUAGAGGCAGGUGGAAUUCCGGGUGUAGCGGUGGAAUGCGUAGAGAUCCGGAAGAACACCGGUGGCGAAGGCGGCCUGCUGGGCAGUAGCUGACGCUGAGGCGCGACAGCGUGGGGAGCAAACGAGGAU
rnacentral:rRNA from 1 species